UACGAAGGGGGCGAGCGUUAUUCGGAAUCACUGGGCGUAAAGCGUGCGUAGGCUGCUUGGAAAGUUGGAAGUGAAAGCCCAGGGCUCAACCCUGGAAUUGCUUUCAAAACUACCAGGCUCGGAUUUGGGAGAGGAUAGCGGAAUUGUCAGUGUAGCAGUGAAAUGCGUAGAUAUCAAGAGGAACACCAGUGGCGAAGGCGAAUCUCUGGACAAUUCCUGACACUCAUGCUCGAAAGCUAGGGGAGCAAACGGG
rnacentral:rRNA from 1 species